UCUUGGUAUGCCAGACUUCACUGACGCAUAAAGCUUCAAACCUGAUAAUUUCCCAAAAGGCACUGACCUUUGCAAGUACAAGGUCUGGAGGAGAAUGGAGAAAACCCAGGUCUGGAGGAGAAUGGAGAAAACCCAGGUCUCUGGAGAAGAACUGACUGAGGACAACAGAAUAUGCAUCCCAUAUUGCUACAAGACACAGCCAUCACCACCUGGCAAGAUUGCUCAGGAUCUC